UCACCCCUCAAGCCCCCGGCUUGGUGUUGGACGGUUUGGUUUUGGCGAUAAGACCCCUCCUAAAGCUAAUGACGGCGGCCUGUGCGAACCCCCGGUACACUGAGCUUCUUAACUGCGCACGUACUGGCUCCAGGGUCAACAGGGCCCGGUCUUCUUCCUUCACGGGAAACACUUUCCAUCAA
rnacentral:misc_RNA from 1 species